GAAUCCUGGGCGUAAAGCGCGCGCAGGCGGUUAGGAAAGUCAGAAGUGAAAUCCUACGGCUCAACCGUAGAACUGCUUCUGAAACUCUCUAACUAGAGUGUGGGAGAGGUGAGUGGAAUUAGUGGUGUAGGGGUAAAAUCCGCAGAGAUCACUAGGAAUACCAAAAGCGAAGGCAACUCACUGGAACAUUACUGACGCUGAGGCGCGAAAGCGUGGGGAGCAAACAGGAUUAGAUACCCUGGUAGUCCACGCCCUAAACGAUGAAUGCUAGUCGUUGGUAUGCUAGUCAUAUCAGUGAUGCAGUUAACACAUUAAGCAUUCCGCCUGGGGAGUACGGUCGCAAGAUUAAAACUCAAAGGAAUAGACGGGGACCCGCACAAGUGGUGGAGCAUGUGGUUUAAUUCGAAGAUACGCGAAGAACCUUACCUGGCCUUGACAUCCCAAGAACCUUCCAGAGAUGGAAGGGUGCCCCUUUUGGGGAACUUGGUGACAGGUGCUGCACGGCUGUCGUCAGCUCGUGUCGUGAGAUGUUGGGUUAAGUCCCGCAACGAGCGCAACCCUCGUGUUUAGUUGCUAACAGUUUGGCUGAGCACUCUAGACAGACUGCCUCCGCAAGGAGGAGGAAGGUGAGGACGACGUCAAGUCAUCAUGGUCCUUACGGCCAGGGCGACACACGUGCUACAAUGGGUAGGACAAUGAGACGCAAUACCGCGAGGUGGAGCAAAUCUAUAAACCUACUCUCAGUUCGGAUUGUAGUCUGCAACUCGACUACAUGAAGCUGGAAUCACUAGUAAUCGUAGAUCAGCCAUGCUNUCGGUGAAUACGUUCCCGGGUC
rnacentral:rRNA from 1 species